CAAUUCCAGUUAUCCUCGCACUCGACCAAUGACCCCCGGUACACUUCGCCGGUCUUGAGCUCCACCGUCACCACGUGACCCGCUGCCUCAUGGAGCAACUUCACCGGGAUCCCCAGGCUCCGGCUCAUCUUCCCCUUUCCGUCUCUCUCGCUGGCUUUCUUUUCCCUCUUUUCGCCGCUAAAACCCCAGCUCGUGGAAACAGGGGGAGGCGGCACGAGAAGAAGCGAGGCGGACCAAGGGCGAACGGGAAAGAAAGGAGAGAGGAAGGCCUUAACGGGCCGUUUGUGAGGAUACCAGCCCAAAUUUGAGAGGAGGGGAGCCUGGUCCAAGUCGCCGCGAAAACGACCUCAUCGAAUCGCUUGGCGAUGAGGCAAAUCGCCGAGAGCCCGAGACGAAUAAACCGAUGCGACGCGUCUUCAAUCCACCUGUCCGUGAUCCGCUCACCUAGAACCUACUAGAAGGCGAACCAACCCGCACAUUCACUUCUCUUCCCAUCCGUACGAACUCGCAGAUCAGAGAGACCGAGGCGCCCGCGGUUCUGCUUUCCUUCCUUGCCCCGUUCACGAGAGAAUUUUCUGGAGUCUUCGACUCGAGCAGGGUUCCGAUGGCGCUGCAAUGGAUGAUCCUGGCGUGCGUGGUGGCGGUGGAAGCUGCGGUGGCUGCGCUGGUCACGCUCCCGGUGCCCCGCGCUGUGCGGGGCCAGAUCGUCGCGCUCACGUCCUUGUUCCUGCAGCCCCUGUCCAGUGUGAUACCCUUCGCCGCCUUCCAGAUCCUCGAUCUCUACUGGAAGAAGGAGCACAGACUGAUGUGCACCUCGGAGAUUUGCACCGCCGAAGAGCGCAUUCGCUUCGAGAAAUCUAUGUUUAAAGCUCAGAGAAAUGUCAUUCUUUGUGUUUCAGCAUGUCUCCUUUAUUGGUGCAUUUAUCGUAUUGUAAAAUUGAACAAGGAUAUUAAGGCUUUGGAAGAGACCGAGAAGCGCCUCAAGGAAGAGUAGAUCUAUUGUGUUUUAAGUGGUAGAGCCUACCGUCUGUAACCGAAAGGUCCCGGGUUCGAGCCCCUGGCUCUGCAUAUUAUGCGGGUGGCUGUUGUCUGCUCCUGGUCUUCAGAAGAUAUUGUUAAAAUAUCAUGGUUCAUAGGAUAUCUAGUGUAUAGUCUUCUUGCAGCAAAGAAGAUAAUGUUUUGCUGUUUCAGCAAACAUCUGAAGUAUGAGUCUUAUUAUUAAGAGGUCUUUUCUUUAACUUAUGGCGAGUUUAGCAUCGGUCAGUUAUCAAACAGUUAAAGCGUUUUCUGAAAUCUUGUUUGAAUAUCCGCAGUCCUUUUUUUGGUUUGGCAUGCCGAAUUAUUCUGAAAUGUUUAGUACCCCGUUGUUCGUA